rnacentral:rRNA from 1 species
GUAGGUGGCAAGCGUUGUCCGGAAUUAUUGGGCGUAAAGCGCGCGCAGGCGGUUCUUUAAGUCUGAUGUGAAAGCCCACGGCUCAACCAUGGAGGGUCAUUGGAAACUGGAGAACUUGAGUACAGAAGAGGAAAGCGGAAUUCCACGUGUAGCGGUGAAAUGCGUAGAGAUGUGGAGGAACACCAGUGGCGAAGGCGGCUUUCUGGUCUGUAACUGACGCUGAGGCGCGAAAGCGUGGGGAGCAAACAGGAUUAGAUACCCUGGUAGUCCACGCCGUAAACGAUGAGUGCUAAGUGUUAGGGGGGUUUUCCGCCCCCCUUAGUGCUGCAGCUAACGCAUUAAGCACUCCGCCUGGGAGUACGGCCGCAAGGCUG